UGUAGAAUCAGGUGUGGUAGUAGAAUCAGGUGUGGUAGCACUGGACUAUUCAUGGAAGAACAGCUGAGUAGUAGAAUCAGGUGUGGUAGUAGAAUCAGGUGUGGUAGUAGAAUCAGGUGUGGUAGUAGAAUCAGGUGUGGUAGGAGAAUCAGGUGUGGUAGCACUGGACUAUUCAUGGAUGAACAGCUGAGUAGUAGAUUCAGGUGUGGUAGAACUGGACUAUUCAUGGAUGAACAGCUGAGUAGUAGAAUCAGGUGUGGUAGUAGAAUCAGGUGUGGUAGGAGAAUCAGGUGUGGUAGUAGAAUCAGCUGUGGUAGGAGAAUCAGGUGUGGUAGUAGAAUCAGCUGUGGUAGGAGAAUCAGGUGUGGUAGUAGAAUCAGCUGUGGUAGGAGAAUCAGGUGUGGUAGUAGAAUCAGGUGUGGUAGCACUGGACUAUUCAUGGAUGAACAGCUGAGUAGUAGAUUCAGGUGUGGUAGGAGAAUCAGGUGUGGUAGGAGAAUCAGGUGUGGUAGGAGAAUCAGGUGUGGUAGUAGAAUCAGCUGUGGUAGGAGAAUCAGGUGUGGUAGGAGAAUCAGGUGUGGUAGUAGAAUCAGGUGUGGUAGU